AUUGAACGCUGGCGGCAGGCCUAACACAUGCAAGUCGAACGGUAACAGGAAGAAGCUUGCUUCUUUGCUGACGAGUGGCGGACGGGUGAGUAAUGUCUGGGAAACUGCCUGAUGGAGGGGGAUAACUACUGGAAACGGUAGCUAAUACCGCAUAACGUCGCAAGACCAAAGAGGGGGACCUUCGGGCCUCUUGCCAUCGGAUGUGCCCAGAUGGGAUUAGCUAGUAGGUGGGGUAACGGCUCACCUAGGCGACGAUCCCUAGCUGGUCUGAGAGGAUGACCAGCCACACUGGAACUGAGACACGGUCCAGACUCCUACGGGAGGCAGCAGUGGGGAAUAUUGCACAAUGGGCGCAAGCCUGAUGCAGCCAUGCCGCGUGUAUGAAGAAGGCCUUCGGGUUGUAAAGUACUUUCAGCGGGGAGGAAGGGAGUAAAGUUAAUACCUUUGCUCAUUGACGUACCCGCAGAAGAAGCCCGCA
rnacentral:rRNA from 1 species